rnacentral:lncRNA from 1 species
GAACCUUGACAAGAAGGCGAACUCUGAGGGCGGCAUGGCCGCGGGCUCGGGCCUGGACUCGCUGCACAAGAAUAGUGUCAGAUCUCAGUGCUCAGCGGGGGCAAGGCCAAAUGCUCACAGUUCUGCACCACUGGCAUGGACGGUGGCAUGAGUAUCUGGGAUGUGAAGAGCUUGGAGUCAGCCUUGAAGGACCUGAAGAUCAAAUGAUCUGUGUGGAAUGUCUUCAUCCCAGCUGUUGGGG